UACGUAGGGUGCAAGCGUUGUCCGGAAUUAUUGGGCGUAAAGAGCUCGUAGGCGGUUUGUCGCGUCUGCUGUGAAAACUCGGGGCUUAACCCCGGGCCUGCAGUGGGUACGGGCAGACUAGAGUGCGGUAGGGGAGACUGGAAUUCCAGGUGUAGCGGUGAAAUGCGUAGAUAUCUGGAGGAACACCGGUGGCGAAGGCGGCAUCCUGGACCGGUAUUGACGCUGAGGCGCGAAAGCUAGGGGAGCAAACGGG
rnacentral:rRNA from 1 species